UUCACAUACUAAAUAGGAGGGGUGUUUAGUGCUCAAGUUUUGUAUAGCAGGGAUGCACUUUACUCUCUGUAUAUGUACACACACUGUUUUGCACGUGUAUAGGGUUUCAUGUUAUUUGAACUUGUUAAGAUAUGUGUGUCAGGCGAAAUCGGGGUGAGAAAAAAAAAAGAACGAGUUGAAGAAUUAUUCUGAUUAUAUCUUAUUUAACUCGUAACUCAUCGUAGGACAGAAUGCCUCUCUUUCCCUUUGGAGUACAAGAGACAGAGAGUUAUUUUGAACUGGUUUUUUGCUAAUAUCUUGUCACUUUAGUGUAUGAUUUGUCUGAUUUUUGUAAUUCUGCAGCUUUAUAUGAAUCAAUGAUUGUAUCUUCAAAUCUAAUGGAGAAAAGGUUGUGUGUCACUUCUACAUAUUCCUUACAAAAGGACCGGAUUAGUGGAUUGCCAGAUGAAAUACUUGUGACUAUAUUGUCCUGCUUGGCAAUGAAAGAAGCAGCAAGAACAAAAGAAAAUAAACGCUCUCAAGGCAACAAAAGAAGUUUAGGCCCCGAAGCACAUACCAAAUCCAACCAAGAACUCAGCUGCCAGAAGCAAUACAAAGCAAACUGCAGGAAGAGCAAAAUAAUAAGACUGCUGCAACAUAGAUCAAAAGCCCAGCACAAAGCCAGAAUCACCCCCAUUCUAGCAGAAAUAACCUUAUGCCACCAUAAAGCAUGACAAAAGCAAAGCAUCUCAUCCUUACCAUUCUCUGUUUGUUUAGCAACUUGUCUUGAAUAGUCAACCACACCAUGAAGGAUUGCUUUAGAAUUGCUUUACCAAACCAAAUAAGAUCAAACCAGACAACCUUACUAUUCUUAGGUCUGAUCCUACCCCAGGCUGACACGAUGGAAAAAGCACCAUUAGUGGACAUCCAAACAAGCUGAUCAAAAGAAUUAGUGUUGGAUAAACUUGGCAAUUUACUAGCCAAAGCAUCAAAAGAUUCAAAACCACUAUUUGAAUUAACUAGCCAAUUCCAAAUAUAUUCUCUCCUAAAUUCAAGGCAAUAGGGUCAGCAAGAAGCCAAUAUUGAUACCAUAAAGAAGUAUGCUCACCAUUCCCAAUUUUGUACAUAAAGUCCAUUCUAAAAUAGCUUCUAAGGUUCAACAACUUCAUCCAUGUCCAUGAACAAUCCUGAGGAGUGUUUAUAGCCCAAAAGUUCUUCCUUUUAUUUUUAUGUUUUCAAUUUAGAUUUAGCCCAUUGCAUCCACAGAGACUUCAGGUUCAGUCUGCAGUAAAUCCCAUGUAUGCUUAGCCAUAGCAGCUCUGUUCCAAGAAACUUAAUAUUUGACCUUAUCCCAGGCUACUUUAGCAUGCCCUCUACUAAGAUCCACACCAUUCCAAAGAAAGCUCAAAAUCAUUGAUUUGCUUGAUGACUGUUUUUGGAAGGAUGAACACAGAAGACCAAUACACUUGAAUAGAAAAUAGGACAGCAUUAAGUAGUUGCAAUCUUCCAGCAAAUGAGAGAUACCUGCUGCACUAAAACUUAUCUCUUAGGCAAUUUUGUCCACUAACCCCAAACAAUCUUCAGACUUGAGCUUUGUAGACAGCAAUGGAACCCCAAGAUACCUUACUGGAAGCACCCCCCAUCCUGAAAGUUUGCGAUUGACAUGUCUUUAAUGCUUCAUUCUCUCUCUCUCUCUCUCUCUCUCUGUAUAUAUAUAUAUAUAUAUAUAUAUAUUGAAUUUGCAUGUUUUUUAUAAAUUGUUAUCUAUUGUCAAUCUUCAAUAUGUUUGAACAAAAUACAUACCAAAAAAGAUUCGAAGAUAUUAAUUUUCAUUUAUAUUUAUAUAUUUUUAUAACACUGUUUCUUUAUUAUUAUCGUCAUGGUAAUUCGCCAUUUGUUUACUAUAAUUAGCUUGAUAAAUGGACUAUUAUAUGUAGGACCGGAUUAGUGGAUUGCCAGAUGAAAUACUUGUGACUAUAUUGUCCUGCUUGACAAUGAAAGAAGCAGCAAGAACAAGUAUCCUUUCGCACAGGUGGGAAAUCUGUGGAAAUUUUUCAGUGGUAGUCUGGACUUUGUUAUCCCAAAGAAAUCAGUGGGCUUGCAACAAAGUAAAGUAUCAAGUAUAAUGGAAAGGUUUGAGUACAUAAAUUGGGUGAACCAAGUCUUGAAUUCACAUCGUGGGCAAACUUUAGAUGAACUCAAAAUUUGUUUUGAUUCUGAUAAACAUUGUGGAUGGAUCAUUGAUAGAUGGAUAAACUUUGCAAUAGAGAAGAGAGUUAGAAUGCUUGAGUUGGACUUGUCAAGAGAGUACACGGAUUCUCAGUUAAGUCAGUUACAUUAUAAUUACGCUUUUCCUUUUUGGUUGUUGGACUUGCCUCUUGGUUUUUCAAGCUUUGAUACCCUUACUUCCCUCUGCUUAACACAUGUCAAUAUAACUGGAGAAGGUGUUGCAUACUUCUUAUCGAGUUGCCCAUUGCUUGAGCAUUUAUCCGUGCGGCACUCAAUAUCUUUAGUUAAUGCAAAAGUUGCUGGUACUUCACUCAAAUUGAAAUACUUGGAAAUUGCCUCCUGUAUCAAUUUAAAAGAUAUUUAGAUUUCAGCUAUAAAUCUCGUGUCAUUUAAAUACUUUGGGUCAGAGAUAAGCAUGCCUUUUAAGAAGUUCCCUUGCUUGCUGAGGUAUCUAUCCAGGGACAUUAUUGUGAUAUUUUAGUUUCUGAAUAUAACAAGCUUCCAUUCUAUCGAUCUCCCUCAACUAGAAAAGCUUAUAUUGGAGCUGAAUUCUGUGGCUAUUGGGGGAAACAUAUUAAAAGGGGAAUUUUUUCCUAAAUUUAGUAAUCUAAAGGAAUUGGAAAUAAACGUUCGGGCUUACAAUGACCGAAGCAUCCUUUUCCUCAUUUCUUUGAUAAAUGCAUCUCCUUGCUUGUUCAGUUUUGUGUUGAAGUUUGAAUUCAGAGGUCGUGCACCUUCAUGCUUAAAGUCCCAUUGGGAAUUGCAGAAAAAGCGCAGCCGGGUGAGACAGGUUACAGAAUAUGAGCAUCAAUGCCUGAAGGUGGUGGAAUUUAUAGGUUGGGUUGGCCUCACACCUGAUUUUGAGCUUGCAAUGUGCCUACUUGAGAGCGUUGUUUCACUUGAAAAGAUGAUUAUUGAUACUCGCAAUCCAAGUUUUCGAAAAACUUGGGAUUUUCGAGAGCAGGAGACAACAAAUAUUGGUAGGGAAGCCGCUAUAGAGCGGGCCAGGCAGCUGGAAGCAAAACGACCUCCGCAUGCUGAAUUAGUUAUACUUUGAGAGUAACAUAUUGGAAAAUUAUACUACACUUUUUCAACAUGGGACAUGUAAGCAAAAAGUUGAUAUGGGACAUGUAAGCAAAAGGUUGAAAAAAGUUUAUAAGCAUUAUUUUUUUUU